rnacentral:lncRNA from 1 species
AGGCAAUGGUAGGGGGUAGGGAUGGGCAGUUUGACCUCUGCCUGCCCACCUUCAGCAGCAGUGUGAGAUCCAACUGCUCAAGGAGCAUCUUCAGCUCAUGUCUUGUUUGCCUGACUCACUCCUUCUUCUUCAGCCAUGGGGAACCCCACCAUGAGGAAGAAAUCACUUGAGAGGCUAGUCUUGUUGGCUUCUGCCUGGUGGGGGGCCAGAGGGCCAGAAGCCAAGGCCAUUGGGUGACUACAGAAGCCAAUGGGGCUCUGGCCUCACAGCCAAUCAGAUGGGAAAGCUGAGGCACAAAGAAGUGGAGUGAACCGACCAUGGUCAUACAGCUAUAAGUGGCAGAGCUGGGAUUUGAAGACAGGUUAUCUGGCUUCAGAGUUGGUGGUUUCAGGGAUCCGAUCCUAGUGCAAGGACACACUGAGGAGGCACUAAAGGUUCAUAUUCAAGGCAGACUAUUUGAUCAACCACUGAAAUGAGAAGAGGCUAAGAGUGUACUGCACACAUGCUGUGGGAACAAAAACCUUCAGGAGUUGUUCUGCAUUGACAUGACAAGACAGAUUGGCUUGAGAAGAGGGGAGUCAGGGCUGAAAACUCCAUGGCCAGCAGACUUAGGUGUCUCCAGGGGACACCAGGCCUAAGAAGGUGUACUGUCAACAUUUAUUGUGAGUUUGGCACAUGCUGGGCUCUGUUCUAAGAAUUUACAUAUUUUAACACAGCCAAUGCUUAGAGCAACCCGAUGGAGCACCUUCAUUUUAAAGAUGAGAUGGGGGAAGUUCCCACUGUGGCUCAGUGGCAAAGAGCCCAACUAGUACCCAUGAGGAUGUGGGUUCGAUCCCUGGCCUCACUCAGUAGGUUAAGGAUCUGCCAUUUCUGUGAGCUGUGGUGUAGGUCGCAGAUGCAGCUCGGAUCCCACAUUGUGGUAGCUGUGGUUCAGGCUGGCAGCUGUAGCUGUGAUUGGACCCCAAGCCAGGGAACUUCCAUAUGCCACAGGAGCAGCCCCCAAAACAAAAUAAAUAUAUACAUAUGAGGAGAUGGGAGAAUUCCCGCUGUGGUGCAGUAGGUUAAGGUUCAAUCCCCUGCCCAGCACAGUGGGUUAAAGAUCUGGCAUUGUCGCAGCGGUGGUGUAGGUUGCAGCUCCUAUUUGGAUUUUAUCACUAGCCCAGGAACUUCCAUAUGCCAAGAGAGAGGCCAAAAAAAAAGAAAUAAUGAUGAAGAGAUGGGCAGAGUAUUUAAGGGACCUGGCCAAGGUCACACAGCUAAUGGUGGCCCAGGAUUAGGAACAUCAUAUCUGAGCAAUACUGCUGGAGUUUUAUUCCUUUUAUGUGAAAUGGAGUUGACGAUUGCUGGCUCUGAAACAUUUGUCACCAAGAACAUAAAUAUGAAAGGACUUUGGAAAACAGAUAGAAUCAUUCUAGUGCGGACUGGGGUUUGCCUUGUGGUAGUUCUCAGCACAGGCAGGGCUCAGGCAGAAGACCCAGAAUCCUCUGAUCUCUCACGUGUAGAAAAUUCUAUUUUUGAGAACCUUAAGCCUGAGUGUCCAGUUCAGAGACACCUAUGAAAGCCCCAUCUUAAGACCAGAUCCUCAGAAGAUGCCUGCAAUAGAGAAAUAGCCCUGGUUACAGAGACCAAUCCCACCAGUCACUAGCCGACAUGCAGUAGGAAGACUGCCAUCAAACAAGCAUCUCAGGACAGACUCCUACACAGCCUCGAGGAUGUUAAAACCAAAAAGGCAUUUGGCUCUUUCUCUGAAGGCAAUGGAACACACAGAGCGAAAAGCAAGGAGACACACAUGAAUGAAUAUAUGUACACAGAUAUGUAUUCUCACAGACAUGUCUGAAUAUGAACCUAGAUGCAUAUGUGUCAUAUAUCAAUGCAUGCACACAAAUGGUUGGGGAAUGCUGGAAAAAUUACUGAGGGAAGAAUGGAAAUAAGUGGCAGCUUCUCAGGGCCAGAAAAAAAAAUGAAUUUAAGGAAAGGAUGUAACAGGAAACAGUAGAAAGAUCAUGGGCUUGGCGUCAGAUGACCUUGAGCUCCAGUCCUUACUUGGCCACAUAUUAACCGUGUGACCUCAAGCAAGCUAGUUAGCCUCUUUGAGCUCUACUCUUCCAUCCUCUGAAAUGGGUAUAAAUAUUCUUACCCUAUAGAGUUUUGGGGAAGAGAAAACCUGGGGCCUGGCCCAUGGAAGUACCAAUAGAUACUGGGUUUUGUCCAUUGAGCUGAAGCUACUGGUAGGUGCUUGCCUUCUUCUGCAUCCUGAAGCCCAAUACGCUCUGGUGCUCUGAAGUGGCAGCACAUCUAAUGAUAGUCUUUCCUUCUCCAAUAGUGGAUCUUGUAGAUGGCUCAGAGAUUUAAGGGGCCUCGAAAAUAAAGGGGGGGGGGCUGAAAAUCUCCCUCUCCAAUUAUGCUCUGUGAAGACAAAGUGAAAAUGAAACCAUAGCAGUCUACGAAGCAAGAAGUGAACCCUCGCCAGACAUCGAAUCUGCUGGUGCCUUGAUCUUGGACUUCUCAACUUCCAGAACUAUGAGAAAAAAUUUCCAUUGUUUAUAAGAUACCCAGUUUAUGUUGUUUUUAUUACAGCAGCCUAAGGAGACUGGGACUAGCUUGGGUCUGCUUCCUAAACUUAAAGAUUUUUGGGAGUUCCCGUCGUGGCACAGUGGUUAACGAAUCCGACUAGGAACCAUGAGGUUGCGGGUUCAGUCCCUGCCCUUGCUCAGUGGGUUAAGGAUCCGGCGUUGCCGUGAGCUGUGGUGUAGGUUGCAGACGCGGCUCGGAUCCCACGUUGCUGUGGCUCUGGCGUAGGCCGGUGGCUACAGCUCCAAUUCGACCCCUAGCCUGGGAACCUCCAUAUGCCGCGGGAGUGGCCCAAAGAAAUAACAAAAAGACAAAAAGAUUUUUGUUAUCUUAUCUUACUUUAUUUUAUUUUUGUUUUUAGGGCCGCACCCACAGCAUAUGGAAGUUCCCAGGCUAGGGGUCGAAUCGGAGCUGCAGCUGCUGGCCUAUAGCACAGUCACAGCAACGCCAGAUCCUUUAACCCACUGAGCGGGGCCAGGGAUCGGAACCCCCAUCCUCAUGGAUACUAGUCAGGUUCGUUUCUGCUGAGCCACAACAGGGAAUCCUAGAGACAUUUUAGAACUGACUUUUUCCCACACUGGUUUGCCUGCUGUACUGAAUUCUGCAAGUAAUGGGCCCCAGGAAACCAGAUUUUGACUUAUUGCACCAAGUUGGUGUGGUCUUGGUGCAAUAAGUCAAAAUCCAGAGCCACAAGAUGACUGGCUGGUUCCAGAUCUCCAGUAUGCCCAUACCUACAUCCCUGCGGUCCAACUGUGAUCCCCACUCCCAGGUGAAAAGCACUUUGCACUGGAAUCUCCACCUUGGAGGUGAGCUGUGUCCAUGCCCAUCACCUGUGCUCACCUGGCCUGCUUGGUCUCAUCUCUCCCCAUGGAGAUCUUCACCCUCCUGCUUCCAGGAGGCCCCCUCUUGGGUGGUGCCCCACCAGGGCUGUGCUCUUUGGUUGGGGCUGGACAGGUGAUGAGAAGCUGGGUGGACACUCCAGUUCUGUCCCUGGUUGAUAUUUUCCCCACCUCAUUCCACCCAGAACAUCUGUUCAUAUUGUUUAUUGAGUGACCACAAGAGUUUGGAUGACAUCUUCCUGGCCAUGGGACAAACUGGGAACUUGGCCAGCCUUUCAACUGGACUCUUCCCACGUUUUCCAUUUUUUCUCUCUCUUCUGUUUUCUUUGUGCUCUUCUCCUGUCUUUUCUCUGCAACUUCAGACUCUCAUGUGCCCUAAUCCCCCUUUCACACCCCCAUGACCCCCUGCUAUGUAUGACAUCUCACCCAGGCCUACCCUUACCUGUAAUUCCUCAUCCAAAGUUACCCUUCCAUCUACCUGAACAACCAAGACCUCUGCUACUCUAGGUUAGACAUUAGGAAGAAAGCAAGCUGAUCUAGCCUAUGUUUGGGAAUCACGUAGCUGCCUUUAAAUUAGCCAUGGCUGGUUUGCUAGCUCUAUGACUUGAGAUAAGAUAUUUAGGAGUUCUCAUUGUGGCUCAGUGGUAAAGAACCUGACUAGUAUCCAUGAGGACAUGGAUUCGAUCCCUGGCCUUGCUCAGUGGGUUAAGGAUCUGGCGUUGCUGUGAACUGUGGUGUAGAUCAUAGACAUAGCUUGGAUCCCCAGUUACUGUGGCUGUGGUGUAGGCAGGUGGGCAGCUGCAUCUCUGAUUUGACCUAUAACCUGGGAACUUCCAUAUGCUUC